GAACGCCGUGUGAGGGGAAACUCUCAUGCACGGUGUGGAGCGGGGGAAAAUCCAGCGAUAAUUUCAAAGGAUUACCUAUCGCUAU
rnacentral:ncRNA from 1 species